rnacentral:rRNA from 1 species
CCUACGGGUGGCAGCAGUAGGGAAUAUUGCUCAAUGGGGGAAACCCUGAAGCAGCAACGCCGCGUGGAGGAUGACGGUUUUCGGAUUGUAAACUCCUUUUUUUAGAGAAGAUAAUUACGGUAUCUAACGAAUAAGCACCGGCUAAAUACGUGCCAGCAGCCGCGGUAAUACGGAGGGUGCAAGCGUUACUCGGAAUCACCGGGCGUAAAGAGCGCGUAGGCGGGAUAGCAAGUCAGAUGUGAAAUGCUAUGGGUGAACCCGAGAACUGCAUUUGAAACUGUUAUUCUAGAGUAUGGGAGAGGUAGGUGGAAUUCUUGGUGUAGUGGUAAAAUGCGUAGAGAUCAAGAGGAAUACUGAUUGCGAAGGCGACCUGCUAGAAUAUAACUGACGCUGAUGCGCGAAAGCGUGGGGAGCAAACAGGAUUAGAUACCCUAGUAGUC